ensembl:lncRNA
GGGAGGCACUAGCACCAGGCUUUGAUGUCCGAGUCCCAGUCAAGUCUCAAGUCCCUAAGGUCCCAGCCAAGCCUCGCGUCCCUGAGGUCCAAAUCAAGCCUCGCGUCCCUGAGUUCACGUUCAGGCCUACUGACCCAAAUGACCAAAUGCCGCUCACGCCCAGCCAAGCUCCGCUCACGCCACAGUCCGCCGACACGCACCGCCAAGCUCCGCUCACGCCACAGUCCGCCGACACGGCCAGCCAAGCUCUGCCUAUGCCCAAGGUUCACAUAGUGACCUCAGAGCCUCAGCCUCCCCGUUCAGCUGAGGUCGUCGCUCAGCCUCCCCGUUCAGCUGAGGUCGUCGCUCAGCCUCCCCGUUCAGCUGAGGUCGUCGCUCAGCCUCCCCGUUCAGCUGAGGUCGUCGCUCAGACUCCCCGUUCAGCUGAGGUCGUCGCUCAACCCGCCUGCUCCAUGGCAACUAGAGUUCCCCCCUUCUGCUUCGAGGAGACCCACGCUCCUCUCCCUGGCCGCACGGGGGACUUCUCUCAGCCUUCCAGUUCAGCUGGGGACGUCGCACCGCUUUCAUGCUCUGCCGAGGAAAUAUCUCAGCCUCCCUGUGCCAUUGUAGAAGCCGCCCGGCCUCCUGAUUUUGCGGGGGACAUUUUCUCCAGGGGGCCAGGACCACCAGAUGGAGGACGUAUAAUUUUGGGCGCUCCGGGAGUAGCGCCAUUGGGGGAGGGUUCUGUCACAUAUCAGGAAGCUCUGGACUCCACUUCCCAUCAGCCACUGCACUGCACUACAUGUCACAUGACCACCUGCACCUGAUUCACGUUUUGGUUAAUGAGCACUCGUGUGUGUGUGUGUGUGUGUGUGUGUGUGUGUGUGUGUGUAUAUAUAGCCAUUGUCUGCACUGAUUCACUGUCUUGUGUUGUAUUAGACUGCCAUGUUACAUGUUUUGUUUCAUGCCACAGUAUUUUGCCUAGUUGUCGUAGUGUCUAUGUUUUGUUGUUUGUUCAUAUAAUAAAUGUUAUAUAUCUG